AGGAUCUAUGCCGUAAGAAGAUCGGCUGGGACGACCCUGUAUGUGAACGUGAUGCAAAUAGCUGGGCCAAUUGGUUGAACCAAAUUCAUCUAUUGGAAAACCUGAAAAUUUGUCGCUGUCUUGAACCGCUUGACUUUGGACGCGUCAGUCGAAGUGACGUACAUAUUUUUGCAGACGCAUCGAAUAACGGAUACAGCGCCGUUGCAUAUCUGCGUCUGAUUGACGAACAUUCUAGAGUUCAUUGCGCUUUCCUGAUGGGUAAAUCUAGACUAGCUCCAAUUAAACCCGUAUCAGUGCCUCGUUUGGAGUUAACUGCGGCGGUUUUAGCCGUGAGAUUGGGAGCAAUAAUCAGAAAAGAGCUAGACCUUUCACUAAGACAGUGCGUCUUUUGGGCGGAUUCAACUGCCAUACUACAGAGUAUUCGUAACUCUUCGAAACGGUUUACAACGUUUGUUGCUAACCGACUAACUACGAUCGAGCAGAAUUGUGAUAUUUCAAAUUGGCGCUACGUUCCAACUAAAUUAAAUCCAGCCGAUGAUGGUUCGAGAGGAGUUUCUGUAGAUAGAUUUCUUAAUCGGGAUCGCUGGCUGCGUGGUCCGGAUUUUUUAUGGUUGGAUGGCCUAUUGACCCUGUUAGUAUGCCGGAUCCGCCACUGGAAUUUCAACCUUCCGAGCAUAUUCCCGUGCAAAUUAACUUAACUGACUGCUUGAACGAAAAUUCUGAAACUGUUUCGGCUACCGAUCGUUUAAUUCAAAGAUACUCUAGUUGGACUCGCUUGCGCAGAGCCACAGCUUGGCUUAUGCGAUACAAGUUGUUUCUGCUCAUGCGGGUAUCUAAGACGGCAAACAACCCCAAUGUUGGCCCUUUGACGUUAAGUGAGCUCAGGUUUUCGGAGACGCAACUUGUGAAAUACGUGCAGUGGCAGAUGUUUCCGAAGGUUAUGGAGAUGCUGGGUUGCGGGAUUGUGAUUUGGAACAAGUCUAACUGCUCCCGCGCACUUCGUAAACUUUCUCCCGUUAUGGACAGCUACGGCGUAAUGCGUGUGGGAGGUCGUUUAGACAAUGCGUCAAUACCGUACGAAUCGAAACAUCCUGCCAUUCUACCGAAUGAACAUCAUUUAACUUCGUUGCUGAUAAUCAAGUGUCAUAUUGAAGUUGGACAUUCUGGAAUGAGUCACACUUGGACGACGUUGAGACAAACAUAUUGGGUAUUGAAGGGUGGCGCUGCAGUUCGUAAAGUCAUAGGAAAAUGCAUAUUUUGUCGAAAGCGGAACGCCCAUGUUGGCGAGCAGAUAAUGUCUGACCUACCCGCUGCUCGGUUAUAUGAUAACGUCCGUGCAUUUUCGUAUGUUGGAGUUGACUUCUUUGGCCCAAUGACUGUUAAGCAAGGACGGAGUCAAGUUAAAGUGUAUGGUUGUCUCUUCACUUGUCUAUCGAUUCGGGCCGUGCAUAUCGAACUAGCUAGUAGUUUAUCAACUGACGACUUUAUUGACGCAUUGAGACGCUUUACUGGGCGCAGAGGUCGUCCUGUUCACAUAUAUUGCGACAAUGGAAGCAAUUUUGUAGGUGCUUGUCGCGAAUUGAAAGAAUCAAUUAGCAAAUGGAACGAGCAAAGUAUUGCAAACUAUCUGCGUCAACGUGACGUAGAAUUUAACUUUAAUCCUCCAUACGCCAGUCAUAUGGGUGGCGUUUUUGAAAGAAUGAUUAAAUCAACUAAACGAAUUCUAUCUGUAUUGUUGACAGGUCAAUCGAUUACUCAUGAGAAGUUGGAGACACUACUAGUUGAAGUGGAAUCGAUACUGAAUUCCAGACCGAUAACUCCAGUGAUAAUGGACCACUCAGCUGAUGAACCGUUGACGCCCAACCAUCUACUACUUGUUGGUUCGUCACCAAAUGUAUCACCAGGUGUAUUCACGAAGCGUGAUUGCUACGUUCGACAGCGAUGGCGCCAGGUACAAUAUCUGGCUGAUGAAUUCUGGCGUCGAUGGAUAAAAGAGUACCUGCCAACAAUAACACAAAGGUCGAAAUGGACGAAAGGACGUGAUAACUUCAAAGUCGACGAUAUGGUUCUGCUAGUUGAUGAAUCGAUUCCUCGCGGUCGAUGGACUGUUGGAAGGGUUAUAAAUACCUUCCCAGACAAACAUGGACUCGUCCGCUCAGUGUUGGUGAGAACCGGCACAAAUGUUGUCAGACGACCCAUUACUAAACUAUGUCGAUUUCUAGAAGACCAAAAAUAGUCGAUCGAAUUAUUGUUUCAUUUACAACGUUUAAUUUUUUAGAAUAUAUUCCCUGGGUCAUAUAUUCGGGUGGGGGUAUGUUACGUUGUAAACGUACGUUUGUCGUAUAUUUUGCCACUGUAUGCAGUGCAUCGUGCUCUGCCUUGCAUCCAAUCAUUGUAGACUCAUUAUUACCCUUUGUUUGUAGCGUAAAUUAGUAUUAUUAUCUAUUGUCUGGUUUAGCGUUUUCCUUUCGGUCAUUUGCAUCACGUAUUCGUCGUGUAAAGAGUCGCAGAUAUUUGUCUGUAUUGUGGACUGUUUAUUUAUCUGGUAUAUAUUGUAAUUGUAUUAGCCUCCCGGAUCGGAAAACGUUUGAAAACCGCUGUUCUUUGCCAAGAAUAUAAAGAAGUGAUUUAUGCACGUGUCUUGUUUGUGGACAAAGGGGCUGAGAGUGGCGCGUUCGAUACGUUUUCAUUGUGUCUCGUCGAUAUAGAUUCCGGGCUAUCAAAAGACG